UCUACGGAGAGUUUGAUCCUGGCUCAGGACGAACGCUGGCGGCGUGCUUAAUACAUGCAAGUCGAGCGAGAACCCGUUGAGGGGUAACCCUCGAUGGGGGAAAGCGGCGAACGGGUGAGUAACACGUGGGUAACGUGCCCCAGACAUCGGGAUAACAGCGGGAAACCGCUGCUAAUACCGGAUAAUCCUUACUGAGCGCAUGCUCUGAGAGGAAAAGCUCCGGCGGUUUGGGAUCGGCCCGCGGCGUAUCAGCUUGUUGGUGGGGUAAUGGCCUACCAAGGCGGUGACGCGUAGCUGGCGUGAGAGCGUGGCCAGCCACACUGGGACUGAGACACGGCCCAGACUCCUACGGGAGGCAGCAGUAGGGAAUCUUGCACAAUGGGCGCAAGCCUGAUG
rnacentral:rRNA from 1 species